AACGAACGCUGGCGGCAUGCCUAACACAUGCAAGUCGAACGAGACCUUCGGGUCUAGUGGCGCACGGGUGCGUAACGCGUGGGAAUCUGCCCUUGGGUUCGGAAUAACAGUUAGAAAUGACUGCUAAUACCGGAUAAUGUCUUCGGACCAAAGAUUUAUCGCCCAGGGAUGAGCCCGCGUAGGAUUAGCUAGUUGGUGAGGUAAAGGCUCACCAAGGCGACGAUCCUUAGCUGGUCUGAGAGGAUGAUCAGCCACACUGGGACUGAGACACGGCCCAGACUCCUACGGGAGGCAGCAGUGGGGAAUAUUGCACAAUGGGCGAAAGCCUGAUGCAGCAAUGCCGCGUGUGUGAAGAAGGCCUGCGGGUUGUAAAGCACUUUCGGUAGGGAAGAUAAUGACGGUAUCUACAGAAGAAGCACCGGCUAACUCCGUGCCAGCAGCCGCGGUAAU
rnacentral:rRNA from 1 species